GAUGAACGCUGGCGGCGUGCCUAAUACAUGCAAGUCGAGCGAACAGACGAGGAGCUUGCUCCUCUGACGUUAGCGGCGGACGGGUGAGUAACACGUGGAUAACCUACCUAUAAGACUGGGAUAACUUCGGGAAACCGGAGCUAAUACCGGAUAAUAUAUUGAACCGCAUGGUUCAAUAGUGAAAGACGGUUUUGCUGUCACUUAUAGAUGGAUCCGCGCCGCAUUAGCUAGUUGGUAAGGUAACGGCUUACCAAGGCAACGAUGCGUAGCCGACCUGAGAGGGUGAUCGGCCACACUGGAACUGAGACACGGUGCAGACUCCUACGGGAGGCAGCAGUAGGGAAUCUUCCGCAAUGGGCGAAAGCCUGACGGAGCAACGCCGCGUGAAUGAUGAAGGUCUUCGGAUCGUAAAACUCUGUUAUUAGGGAAGAACAAAUGUGUAAGUAACUAUGCACGUCUUGACGGUACCUAAUCAGAAAGCCACGGCUAACUACGUG
rnacentral:rRNA from 1 species